UUUAAAAAUCCGCUGUGGUACGAUGAAAUCGAAAACAAAAACUUAUACCACGAAAAAUGGCUAAUGCGAAAUAGAUGUUUCAAUAUUCACAACAUUUCGGGCUGGGACGCUCUUUAUCUGGUGAUUUUAAACUUAGCCGGCGUGCCUUUUCUCUGGUGAUUUUAAAAUUAGCCAUUUUUCAUGGUAUAAGAUUUUCCACUUUUUGUUUUCUUAUACAUCUUAGUAUAGCUUGUGUUUGUAUAGAAAAAAGUCUUUCUGACAUAGUUCAUGAUAUUUUAUGAGAACUUAUGGUUUGAGUCAUAGUCACAACGGCUAAAUUUCGUGAUGCGUUUUAAACAAUAGAAAAGAACCUUGAUGAUGACAUCUAGAACAAACCCAGAACUGAUCUGCCCGUAACAUUUCACAGCAUGUACAGAUUUGUCAUAUGAUAAAAACAGCAGACUGUUGAAAACAAUUGAAAUAGAUCUGUCAUUUGAUAAAAACAACCAGCUACUAAAAAAACUGAAAUAGAUCUGUCAUUUGAU